AAACCGUUCAGGGGUAAACCUGAGAAACCCAAAAGAUCGAAUGGAAAGAUUCAUCGUCAACGGCGCUGGCCGCGCGUUGAAUGACGAUGCUCGUGUGAUCUCGGUCGCACGGCACGUCGUCUACGCGUUACGCUUGGUGUCGUCGGCGUGCACUUCUUUCCUAGUAGGACGUCGCGACCCGUUGAGUGUCGGUCUACGGCCCGAAUGGUAGACUAUCACGCGCUGUCCUCGGACUCGCGAGUUAGACCUUUGGAUGCCCGGCCGACCGCUCGGCGGUAAACGCACGGUAUAGGGCCGCAGUUUCGACUGCGUCUGGCUCGUCGCAAGCGCGUUCAGUGUUAUCCCGAACGUACGAACCAAGUUUCGUCGUCGGGCCUGGACGGCUGUUGGCAGGCGAUGCCCUCGGACUGGCCCACAACCAAUAAUGGUGAUUACCGGUCGGCGACGCUACUGCUUUGGGUACUUUCAGGA
rnacentral:rRNA from 1 species